UACAGAGGUCUCGAGCGUUAGGCGGAAUCACUGGGCUUAAAGCGUGUGUAGGCGGGGCGGUAAGUACCUUGUGAAAUCCCACGGCUCAACCGUGGAACUGCUGGGUAUACUGCCGAUCUUGUGCAACCUAGGGGCGAGCGGAACAGAUGGUGGAGCGGUGAAAUGCGUAGAUAUCAUCUGGAACGCCAAUGGUGAAAACAGCUCGCUGGGGGUUUGCAGACGCUGAGACACGAAAGCCAGGGGAGCGAACGGG
rnacentral:rRNA from 1 species